rnacentral:misc_RNA from 1 species
GAUGAAGAACGCAGCGAAAUGCGAUAAGUAAUGUGAAUUGCAGAAUUCAGUGAAUCAUCGAAUCUUUGAACGCACAUUGCGCCCUCCAGUAUUCUGGCGGGCAUGCCUGUUCGAGCGUCAUUUCAACCAUCAAGCCCCCGGCUUGUGUUGGGGACCUGCGGCUGCCGCAGGCCCUGAAAAGCAGUGGCGGGCUCGCUGUCACACCGAGCGUAGUAGCAUACAUCUCGCUCUGGGCGUGCUGCGGGUUCCGGCCGUUAAACCACCUUCAUAACCCAAGGUUGACCUCGGAUCAGGUAGGAAGACCCGCUGAACUUAAGCAUAUCAAUAAGCGGAGGA